CUGAAAGCUCAAAAUUCCAAUUCUUUCCAUCCUUGCAGGAAAGCCUACAAUUCUGAGAUCAUUGUAUUACAAAGCUCCUCAGAAUUAUGCUGAACUGUUGCAACAUCCUGCGGAGUGCACAAAGGAAAGACACCAAGAGGAAAUUUAUGGUCAAAGGCCAUAACAAAACUGGAUUCUCAAUGGCUUUUUGAGGGAGUUAAGAAAAGAGAAAGUGCCGCCUCUUCUGUUAACAUGUAACUUCAAGACACGAGAUUUUUCAAGGACAGUACACAAGCCCUGAGACAAAACUCAUCCUUUCAAGUGGCUGGUUCUUAAAGACCUCCUAUUAAGAAUUCAGGUGCAGGUGGAUUAAGCUGAUGACAGCACCACGCAUGGAACUUGGGUGUCACCAGAGGAGUUUUUUGGCAGGCAAACAAUCCGGCUGUGAGCUGCAAGCACCUGCCUGUGCCCCUGCACCCCACCACCAUGCAGUGCAGGUGGAUCUCAUGUGCUGCUUGCACACCAGGAUCCACUACAGCGGCUCCAGAUUUUCCUCCUCCUCCACAGCUGUCACUAGCUUCCAGCAGAGAAAUCUUGACAGCUUUUGCUAACGUAGAAGGAAGUGCUACAACAAUGAAGGUCUCGGGGACUCAGGGCUCACCUCCAGGAACAUGAGGGAGCGCAGCAGCACAGAGCAGCAGGAAGGGGAGCCACGACAGAGACAAGGGAGACUCCACCCUGGACCCUCCCUGGGCUGUCACCAGAGGCUGAUACCUUGAUUUAUUGCUCCCUUUAUAAUGGCUGUACUUAUUACUUAUGUUCAUUUAAAUUAAGGAACUUGGUAACUGCCAUAUUUGACAGAGCAGUUUUUGUAAUAGAG
rnacentral:lncRNA from 1 species